rnacentral:rRNA from 1 species
AGCGAACGCUGGCGGCAGGCCUAACACAUGCAAGUCGAACGAACUCUUCGGAGUUAGUGGCGGACGGGUGAGUAACACGUGGGAACGUGCCUUUAGGUUCGGAAUAACUCAGGGAAACUUGUGCUAAUACCGAAUGUGCCCUUCGGGGGAAAGAUUUAUCGCCUUUAGAGCGGCCCGCGUCUGAUUAGCUAGUUGGUGAGGUAAAGGCUCACCAAGGCGACGAUCAGUAGCUGGUCUGAGAGGAUGAUCAGCCACAUUGGGACUGAGACACGGCCCAAACUCCUACGGGAGGCAGCAGUGGGGAAUCUUGCGCAAUGGGCGAAAGCCUGACGCAGCCAUGCCGCGUGAAUGAUGAAGGUCUUAGGAUUGUAAAAUUCUUUCACCGGGGACGAUAAUGACGGUACCAGGAGAAGAAGCCCCGGCUAACUUCGUG